rnacentral:rRNA from 1 species
UUAGAGCUUGAUCCUGGCUCAGAUUGAACGCUGGCGGCAGGCCUAACACAUGCAAGUCGAGCGGAUGACAGGAGCUUGCUCCUGAAUUCAGCGGCGGACGGGUGAGUAAUGCCUAGGAAUCUGCCUGGUAGUGGGGGACAACGUUUCGAAAGGAACGCUAAUACCGCAUACGUCCUACGGGAGAAAGCAGGGGACCUUCGGGCCUUGCGCUAUCAGAUGAGCCUAGGUCGGAUUAGCUAGUUGGUGAGGUAAUGGCUCACCAAGGCGACGAUCCGUAACUGGUCUGAGAGGAUGAUCAGUCACACUGGAACUGAGACACGGUCCAGACUCCUACGGGAGGCAGCAGUGGGGAAUAUUGGACAAUGGGCGAAAGCCUGAUCCAGCCAUGCCGCGUGUGUGAAGAAGGUCUUCGGAUUGUAAAGCACUUUAAGUUGGGAGGAAGGGCAUUAACCUAAUACGUUAGUGUUUGACGUACCGAC